AGUGAGCGCUGGCGGUAGGCCUAACACAUGCAAGUCGAACGGCAGCACAGUAAGAGCUUGCUCUUACGGGUGGCGAGUGGCGGACGGGUGAGGAAUACAUCGGAAUCUACUUUUUCGUGGGGGAUAACGUAGGGAAACUUACGCUAAUACCGCAUACGACCUACGGGUGAAAGCAGGGGAUCUUCGGACCUUGCGCGAUUGAAUGAGCCGAUGUCGGAUUAGCUAGUUGGCGGGGUAAAGGCCCACCAAGGCGACGAUCCGUAGCUGGUCUGAGAGGAUGAUCAGCCACACUGGAACUGAGACACGGUCCAGACUCCUACGGGAGGCAGCAGUGGGGAAUAUUGGGCAAUGGGCGCAAGCCUGAUCCAGCCAUACCGCGUGGGUGAAGAAGGCCUUCGGGUUGUAAAGCCCUUUUGUUGGGGAAGAAAAGCAGCAGGUUAAUACCCCGCUGUUCUGACGGUACCCAAAGAAUAAGCACCGGCUAACUUCGUG
rnacentral:rRNA from 1 species